rnacentral:rRNA from 1 species
AUUGAACGCUGGCGGCAGGCCUAACACAUGCAAGUCGAACGAGUGGCGGACGGGUGAGCAAUGUCUGGGCAUCUGCCUGGUGGAGGGGGAUAACAACUGGACGCUGUUGCUACUACCGCCUACCAUCGGCUGUGCCGAGUUGGGAUUAGCUAGGUGGUGGGGGAAAGGCUUACCAAGGCGCCGAUCCCUAGCUGGUCUGAGAGGAUGACCAGUCACACUGGAACUGAGACACGGUCCAGACUCCUACGGGAGGCAGCAGUGGGGAAUAUUGGACAAUGGGCGCAAGCCUGAUGCAGCCAUGCCGCGUGUGUGAAGAAGGCCUUCGGGUUGUAAAGUUCUGUUGUUGGGGAAGCGGUACCCAAAGAAGAAGCACCGGCUAACUCCGUGCCAGCAGCCGCGGUAAUUG